rnacentral:rRNA from 1 species
UACGAAGGGGGCUAGCGUUGCUCGGAAUCACUGGGCGUAAAGGGUGCGUAGGCGGGUCUUUAAGUCAGGGGUGAAAUCCUGGAGCUCAACUCCGGAACUGCCUUUGAUACUGAAGAUCUUGAGUUCGGGAGAGGUGAGUGGAACUGCGAGUGUAGAGGUGAAAUUCGUAGAUAUUCGCAAGAACACCAGUGGCGAAGGCGGCUCACUGGCCCGAUACUGACGCUGAGGCACGAAAGCGUGGGGAGCAAACAGGG